UAGGUUAAGUUAAGUUGGGCUAGGUUAGGUUAAGAUGGGCUAGGUUAGGUUAAGUUAAGUUGGGCUAGGUUAGGUUAAGAUGGGCUAGGUUAGGUUAAGAUGGGCUAGGUUAGGUUAAGUUGGGCUAGGUUAGGUUAAGUUGGGCUAGGUUAGGUUAAGUUGGGCUAGGUUAGGUUAAGUUGGGCUAGGUUAGGUUAAGUUGGGCUAGGUUAGGUUAAGAUGGGCUAGGUUAGGUUAAGAUGAGCUAGGUUAGGUUAAGUUAGUGUUAGGUAAUUUUUUUUUUUUUUUUUUUUUUUUUCCGUGUCAGACUUUAGCGCUGGUAGGCUUUCUUAAGGGGCCUGGGUGGUAGUUGGCCCCAGCCCGUCAUGGCGCAGGCAAGUGUUUUUUAUAGUGGCGCCAUCUAUUCUUGGCUCAUGCUGCCCCCCGGAACUCCUUGAUUCACUUGGACGGUUUCCUCUAGAGUCCGGGUUGAUGGCUGGUCUUCAGGACAGCAUGUGGGUAGUCUUAGGACACUGCCUGUUUGUCUGUUCUACCUUUUCUUUUUUCAUUCUUUUCUUUAUUUCUUGUUGGGAUAGUUUGUCUGAUGUUUGGUUAGGUUAGGUUAAUAUUAUACAUUUUCACAGUAGGUUAAUAUUAUACAUUUUCACAGUAGUUAAUAUUAUAGAUUUUCACAGUAGGUUAGGUUAGGUUAGGUUAGGUUAAUAUUAUACAUUUUCACAGUAGGUAAGAUUAGGUUAGAUUAAUAUUAUACAUUUUCACAGUAGGUUAGAUUAGGUUAGAUUAAUAUCAUACAUUUUCACAGUAGGUUAGAUUAGGUUAGAUUAAUAUCAUACAUUUUCACAGUAG